rnacentral:rRNA from 1 species
GAUGAACGCUGGCGGCGUGCCUAAUACAUGCAAGUCGAGCGAACAGACGAGGAUCUUGCUCCUCUGACGUUAGCGGCGGACGGGUGAGUAACACGUGGAUAACCUACCUAUAAGACUGGGAUAACUUCGGGAAACCGGAGCUAAUACCGGAUAAUAUAUUGAACCGCAUGGUUCAAUAGUGAAAUACGGUUUUGCUGUCACUUAUAGAUGGAUCCGCGCCGCAUUAGCUAGUUGGUAAGGUAACGGCUUACCAAGGCAACGAUGCGUAGCCGACCUGAGAGGGUGAUCGGCCACACUGGAACUGGGACACGGUCCAGACACCUACGGGAGGCAGCAGUAGGGAAUCUUCCGCAAAGGGCGGAAGCCUGACGGAGAAACGCCGCGUGAGUGAUGAAGGUCUUCGGAUCGUAAAACUCUGUUAUUAGGGAAGAUCAAAUGUGUAAGUAACUAUGCACGUCUUGACGGUACCUAGUCAGAAAGCCACGGCUAACUACGUG